AGCGAACGCUGGCGGCAGGCCUAACACAUGCAAGUCGAACGGGCCCCUUCGGGGGUCAGUGGCAGACGGGUGAGUAACACGUGGGAACGUACCUUUCGGUUCGGGAUAACCCGGGGAAACUCGGGCUAAUACCGGAUACGCCUUUCGAGGGAAAGAUUUAUUGCCGAGAGAUCGGCCCGCGUCUGAUUAGCUAGUUGGUGAGGUAACGGCUCACCAAGGCGACGAUCAGUAGCUGGUCUGAGAGGAUGAUCAGCCACACUGGGACUGAGACACGGCCCAGACUCCUACGGGAGGCAGCAGUGGGGAAUAUUGGACAAUGGGCGAAAGCCUGAUCCAGCCAUGCCGCGUGAGUGAUGAAGGCCCUAGGGUUGUAAAGCUCUUUCGGCGGGGACGAUAAUGACGGUACCCGCAGAAGAAGCCCCGGCUAACUUCGUGCCAGCAGCCGCCGUAA
rnacentral:rRNA from 1 species